rnacentral:rRNA from 1 species
CAGCAGCCACGGGAAUACGUAGGUGGCAAGCGUUGUCCGGAAUUAUUGGGCGUAAAGGGCUCGCAGGCGGUUUCUUAAGUCUGAUGUGAAAGCCCCCGGCUCAACCGGGGAGGGUCAUUGGAAACUGGGAAACUUGAGUGCAGAAGAGGAGAGUGGAAUUCCACGUGUAGCGGUGAAAUGCGUAGAGAUGUGGAGGAACACCAGUGGCGAAGGCGACUCUCUGGUCUGUAACUGACGCUGAGGAGCGAAAGCGUGGGGAGCGAACAGGAUUAGAUACCCCCGUAGUCCCUGUCCUCUUAUA